CAGAAAGCUGAAGCAACUAACCUUGUUAUCCCACAAAGUAUCUGAAGGGGUCCAAAGCGGUCCUGACGUGCAAAUCGGUCAUCCGACCCGGGUAUAGGGGCGAAAGACUAAUCGAACCAUCUAGUAGCUG
rnacentral:ncRNA from 1 species